rnacentral:rRNA from 1 species
GAUGAACGCUAGCGACAGGCUUAACACAUGCAAGUCGAGGGGCAGCAUAAUAAUCAGCUUGCUGAUUAUGGUGGCGACCGGCGCACGGGUGAGUAACGCGUAUGCAACCUACCUAUCAGAGGGGGAUAGCCCAUCGAAAGAUGGAUUAAUACCGCAUAAAACAGGGAUCCCGCAUGGGAAUAUUUGUUAAAGAGAUUCGCUGAUAGAUGGGCAUGCGUUCCAUUAGUUAGUUGGUGAGGUAACGGCUCACCAAGACAUCGAUGGAUAGGGGUUCUGAGAGGAAGGUCCCCCACACUGGAACUGAGACACGGACCAGACUCCUACGGGAGGCAGCAGUGAGGAAUAUUGGUCAAUGGUCGAAAGACUGAACCAGCCAAGUCGCGUGAGGGAAGACAGCCCUAUGGGUUUUAAACCUCUUUUGUAAUGGAAGAAUAAGUCUUACGAGUAGGACGAUGCCAGUACAUUACGAAUAAGCAUCGGCUAACUCCGUGCCAGCCGCCGCAGUAACAC